GACGAACGCUGGCGGCGUGCUUAACACAUGCAAGUCGAGCGGAGGGGCGAACGGGUGAGUAACGCGUGAGUAACUGCCCCCCUCUCUGGGAAAAAAAUUGGAAACGGCCGCUAAUACCGGCUAGUGGGGGAUGACUCGCGUCCUAUCAGCUUGUUGGUGGGGUAGUGGCCAACCAAGGCGACGACGGGUAGCCGGCCUGGGAGGGGGACCGGCCACAGUUGGCUGAGAUACGGCCCAAACUCCAACGGGAGGCAGCAGUGGGGAAUAUUGCACAAUGGGGGAAACCCUGAUGCAGAAACGCCGCGGGCGGGAUGACGGCCUUCGGGUUGUAAACCGCUUUCAGCCAUGACGCGGUAGUGGCAGAAGAAGCACCGGCUAACUACGUGCCAGCAGCCGCGGUAAUUC
rnacentral:rRNA from 1 species